UACGUAUGGGGCAAGCGUUAUCCGGAUUCAUUGGGCGUAAAGCGCGUGUAGGCGGCUGGAUAAGUCAGAUGUGAAAGCCCUGGGCUUAACCCAGGAAGUGCAUUUGAAACUUUUCAGCUGGAGUAAGGGAGAGGAAAGUGGAAUUCCUGGUGUAGAGGUGAAAUUCGUAGAUAUCAGGAGGAACACCGGCGGCGAAGGCGACUUUCUGGACCACGACUGACGCUGAGGCGCGAAAGCUAGGGGAGCGAACAGG
rnacentral:rRNA from 1 species